GGGCCCGCACAAGCGGUGGAGCAUGUGGUUUAAUUCGAUGAUACGCGAGGAACCUUACCAGGGCUUAAAUGGGAAAUGACAGGGGCAGAGACGCCCCCUUCUUCGGACAUUUUUCAAGGUGCUGCAUGGUUGUCGUCAGCUCGUGCCGUGAGGUGUCAGGUUAAGUCCUAUAACGAGCGCAACCCCUACCGUUAGUUGCCAGCGUGUAAUGACGGGGACUCUAACGGAACUGCCGGUGCAAACCGUGAGGAAGGUGGGGACGACGUCAAAUCAUCAGGCCCUUACGUCCUGGCCACACACGUACUACAAUGCUACGGACAAAGGGCAGCAAGUUCGCAGAAGGACAGCAAA
rnacentral:rRNA from 1 species